rnacentral:rRNA from 1 species
AGCGGAGGAAAAGAAACUAACAAGGAUUCCCCUAGUAACGGCGAGUGAAGCGGGAUGAGCUCAAGCUUAAAAUCUCUGUCACAUAUUUAUUAUGUGCGGCGAAUUGUAGUCUAUAGAAGCGUGGUCAGUGUAGGCACUUGAGAUAAGUUCCUUGAAAAAGGACAGCAUGGAGGGUGAAACUCCCGUUCAUACUUGAGUAGCUUAUGCGUACGACCCGUUUUCUUUGAGUCGCGUUGUUUGAGAAUGCAGCGCAAAGUAGGUGGUAAAUUCCAUCUAAAGCUAAAUAUUGGUGCGAGACCGAUAGCGAACAAGUACCGUGAGGGAAAGAUGAAAAGAACUUUGAAAAGAGAGUUAAAGAGUACCUGAAACUGCUGAAAGGGAACCGGAUCGUUUCUAGUGUCUAUAAUCUGUGACAUAUUUCAUUGGGGAGUGUGUGCGUGUGUAUACUAUGGCAGUGGCUUUUUGGCUGCGCUUGGUGUGCGUGCUGUAUGUGCUUACUGGUGCCCUGUGUUGCGGUGGGACGUCAAGGUCGGUUUGUAUACUGCGGGAAAUGGCUAUUGAGGAGGUAGGGCUUACGCUUGCGUUUGUCUAUUAUAUCUUGGUAGUUGUGUCGUGGUUGAGACUGAGGUGUCUACAACGUGCUUAUGAGUGGGACUGUGUCUCCGUGUGCGCCGUGUGCGGAUAGCUUGCUAUGUGUGUGUGGUGGUGUGUGGAUUGAUGCGGGCUUUAACUUGUUGCCGUUCGGGACGUUGGCGAAAUAGAGCGAUUUGACCCGUCUUGAAACACGGACCAAGGAGUCUAACAUGUGUGCAAGUGUUAGGGUGUGGAAACCCAAGCGCGAAAUGAAAGUAAAGGAUAGUGUAAACUGUCUGAGGUAGGAAAUGCUGCGGAUUUCGGUCUGUGGCGUGGCACUAUCGACCGAUCAUGAACCUUCGUGGUGAAAGAUUUGAGUUUGAGCACAUAUGUUGGUACCCGAAAGAUGGUGAACUAUGCCUGAGUAGGGUGAAGC